UCGGCCUGGAGUACAUGAGCUGCGGGGACUUUUACACCUACCUACUGAUGAAGGACCAGCUUGACAUCCCCAGUGCAAGAUUCUAUGCCGCUGAACUCGUCUGUGGAAUCCAAUUCCUGCACUCAAAGGGCGUCAUCCACAGAGACCUGAAGCCCGAGAACAUCUUGGUGGCUGAAACGGGCCAUGUAAAGAUCACUGAUUUUGGUCU